GACGAACGCUGGCGGCGUGCUUAACACAUGCAAGUCGAACGGAAAGGCCCUGCUUUUGUGGGGUGCUCGAGUGGCGAACGGGUGAGUAACACGUGAGUAACCUGCCCUUGACUUUGGGAUAACUUCAGGAAACUGGGGCUAAUACCGGAUAGGAGCUCCUGCUGCAUGGUGGGGGUUGGAAAGUUUCGGCGGUUGGGGAUGGACUCGCGGCUUAUCAGCUUGUUGGUGGGGUAGUGGCUUACCAAGGCUUUGACGGGUAGCCGGCCUGAGAGGGUGACCGGCCACAUUGGGACUGAGAUACGGCCCAGACGCCUACGGGAGGCAGCAGUGGGGAAUAUCGCACAAUGGGCGGAAGCCUGAUGCAGCAACGCCGCGUGCGGGAUGACGGCCUUCGGGUUGUAAACCGCUUUCGCCUGUGACGAAGCGUGAGUGACGGUAAUGGGUAAAGAAGCACCGGCUAACUACGUG
rnacentral:rRNA from 1 species